rnacentral:snRNA from 1 species
UUCAGCUCUCUGCCAUUCGGCUAAGAUCAAAUGUAGUAUCUGUUCUGCCCAGCUUGAUCCCUGGUGCUGUCCCUACAUGGUGACUGUCCUUUUCGGAUUUACUAUUUUUUGUUCAGCGGUGGGAAUGCAGCGCUCUUGACGUGCGGUUCUUGCUGAUUGUGUCCCUGGUUUUACACUGCUUCCAGGUGAUGCGAACUUUUC